UUCAGAGGGGCAAAUUCUACUAUGGCUGAUGCCUUAUAGCCAUAUGUGUAGACGUCAAUUUAUAUAGGAUAACACUUUGAAGAUAAUCACCAAUAUGGUGUAGAUCUUGCAGUAAUAGAAAACAUAGUCCGACUUUUGUCAGUAGAUGUUCAUAUCUAUUACCUUAUGUUAUGCUAUAUUUACGAAAAUUGGUAUGAAGAUAGUCGUAUGUCAGAAUGACAUGAUGUAGACCUCCCAGUAAUAUUGAAUAAUCUGCAAGAUUUUGUAGUAGAUACCAAUAUUACCUUAUGAUAUCUUGAGGUAGUCAAAUAUUAAUUUUUGGAAGAGCACUUUGAAGGUAAUCAUCUUGUUAGUGAUAGGAUGUAGACCUCAUAGUAGUGAUUAGUCAUAUUGAGUAUGACACAUUAUAAUUCUUAUUUUGAAUUUAUAGCAAUUUUGCAAGAAAAAAUAAUUUCCAUUGCAAAGUUAUAGUUGUUGUCCUCAAAACGCAUGUCAUAAGGAAUGUUUGUCAUAAAGAUAUAUAAUGUCUUAAAUUCCGAAGGAAUAAAUGUACGUGAAACAUUCUUUUGCAUUAGUAUCAUUGUGGUAAUACAAAUAGAUGCAAAAUUUAAUAAUUUACAUAUUUAUUCAAUAUAUGAAGACAUGAGGCUUCAAAUGAUAUUUUAUAUGAUGUAAAUAGUUCGUAAUUAUAUUUCUAUGCCAUUAUGAAAAAAAAACUAUAGUUGAAACUGUGUCGAAAAACCGAGACUUCAAAAAUUAAUGAUGGUAACCUGAAGGUUAAAUUCCUGAGAAUAGUAAGCCUCAGGGUUGCAUCAUAAUCAUUGUUUUAAGAAGAACGCCAUGUCGUGCUGGACGCCGACGCCGGGCCUAAGGCCAUGGACGUCACUCCGCUGGAGGGCAUCGUAGUCGCGGGCGUCUGCGGGGCCGUAGCUACGGGCAACCACGCCGGAAGGCGCUGCCGUGCCGCGCGUCACGCGUCGAAGAGCGCUUCGCUGGAUGGUGCCAGAUCUGAGGACCAUGGCUGAUGGUAGAUAUCGCCGCAUCUGGAGCCUCGCGUCGUGGCUGCCUGGUUGUAGUCUCCACUAUGAUUGGAGGACUGAUGCUUCUACGUGCAUCCUUGAUGAGUUUUUUUUACUGCGGUUAUGGUGAGCAGCAGUGGUCGCUAGUAUUCAAUGAAUUAGAAAUAAACAUGGUACCUUCUUCUUCCCUUGGCAUGACUGAAUGAUAUGUUCUAUUCAUCUCACCAUGCCCAUAUGUUCGGAUGAAGGGAUCCACUACUUGCAGUACAUGAUUUAUCCAUUCUUCCUUUAUCUUGAUCAAUUUCAGUGAACAGAUUCAUGAUUUUAAUCACAAGAAGGCAAUAAAGUAACGUUUCCCUGAUCAAUUUCCUGUAGGAAUGUUUGUAUGUAGAUUUUCUUUAGGAGACUAAGGAUGCAUGCAUGCCCGUCUUUGCUUCCUCCAUUGUUCCGUUGGAAGCAGCGCUGGAUCGUCUCACGCCCGCUCGAUACUUGCACUGGCUUGUGCAGCGGUUUCGUGGACGAAAUCCACCUUGUAAGGUUCAUCUUCACGCGUUGCCGCCGGCCGGAUUCCAGCGUGUUUUCUGUAUGCCAUUACUCUUUCUUGGUAGAGUAUAAGUGCUCAUAACGUGUUUGAAGUAAAAAGUAAAGAACGAGAGAGAUGAAUGAAAGAUGAU
rnacentral:lncRNA from 1 species